CCUACCACGUGACCCCUACCUACUAUUUUAUUCACAUGCUAUUUCCACUUAUAACGAGGGACCAUAAAAGGAAAAUUAAAAAAAGUGUCCCACUUAGAUUCCAUUAUUUUUCUUUUCAAUUGAAAAGGACAAAAGGAGAAGAUAGAUGCACCGACUCAUAUAAAAAAGGAGAGGGGACCACUCUCAAUUCAUUCAUACAUAAACCUCCCCUCAUAGAUAUUGAUUCAUUACUCCUUCUCUGGAAAAUUCAACAUACAUAUACCCAUAUACCCUUAUAUAUCGAGACCACCAUGAACAGAUCAAGCUGGAGGAAGGAGAAAAAAUAUGGGGAGUAGGAAUUGAAUGGAAAACAGAGGUAAAACAGAGAGAAAAAUGGGAUUGCGGAUAAUUGGAUAAAAAUAGAGAGGUGAGAGAGAAAUUGAGCGAAGGAGAGAGUAAGGACUGCUAUGGUCAAGAGAGAUCUAUGAGAGAGAGAAAUCAUGUGAGAUGGGGGUGGAAACCGUGAACAGGGGGAUCUAGUUGGCUGGCUUGAGUUGUCCAGCGAACUUCUUGCGGGAAGCAGUCAUCUAUCGUAGGACUCAACCAUUUUUGACCAACAUCAUCAAAGCCCAGUAGGAAACCCCAAAAUCCAUCAGAAAGAGCAAAAUAAAUCGACUCCUCUUUUCCCGUUCUUCGACGAAACAGUAGCGGGGUACGAAAUUGAAUGUGGGUUUAUCUUUACUUUGUGAUUUUUUGAUUUAGGUUGGCAAAAAUAAAAUAAAAAGGGUUAGAUUGAGGUCGGAUUGGGUUCAAAUUGAGGUUCGGUUCGAGAUAUCCGGACGUGGACUCUCUUUAAUUGAAUAACACAGUUUGAAAGCCCCAAUUUCAGUUUUGAUCUGCUUUCUGGAGCCCACCUGAAGAGCAGGGAAAAUAAAUAAAAAUUCAAGCAACAUGGAGAAAAAGUUGAAAGUCAAGCAACUAGGUGAAGAAAUUGAAAGUCAACAGAUUGAAAAAUAGCAAGUCAGGAACCCGCCUCAAUAACAGGGUAAAGAAAUUUAAAACCAAGCAACAAGUGAUGAAAUUGCAAGUUGGGAGCUCACCCAAAAAACAGAGUGAUAAAAUUGCAAGUCAGGAGCCCGCCUGAAGAACAGGGUGAAAAAAUAGCGAGUGAGGAGCCCGCCUGAAGAAUAGAGUGAUGAAGUGGCGAGUCAAGAGUAAAGGAAAGCUGCAUAGAUAAAGUUUUUGUAAUUUAAUUUAUGUUUUUAACUUGUAAUUUUCAUUUUUGAUGUAAUGAUAGAGCCGCAGGCCGGAACCUCGACGGGACCUCACUCGACUCUCCAACUCGGCUAUCCUUCUGCCUUAUGUUUCUUGCUUUGAAUAAUUGUCGGGUUAAAAUUCUCUCAUUGUCUACUUCUUCGUAUGAAAACUCUUUGUGUUUACAUGAACAGAAGAGAAUGAUGUAGACACGUAAUUUUGUUCCUUCCCAAAAGCAAUUUUACCAUUUUGUCCUCGUCUUACUGCGUGCCCUCACUCGUGUUAUUAUAUACCACAAAAAUACAAAAAAUAACAAUCCAUAACAAAUUUUAUCUUAUUUUAAUCUAUCCUAACAAAGUUUAUCCUAAUCACUCACUACCCUAACACCCUACCCACAUGACCCCCUACCUACUCUUUUAUUCACACGUUAUUUCCACUUAUAACGAGGGACCAGAAAAGGAAAAGAAAAAAAAGGGCCCACUUGGAUUCCAUUAUUUUUCUUUCCAAUUAAAAAGGACAAAAGGAGAAGAUAGAAACAUCGACUCAUGAAAAAAAAGGGAGAGGGGACCACUCUUAAUUCAUUCAUACACAAACCUCCCCUAACAGAUAUUGAUUCAUUACUCCUUCACUGGAAAAUUCAACAUACAUAUACCAACGUACCUUUAUAUAUCGAGACCACCAUGAACAGAUAGAGGUGGAGGAAGGUGAAAAAAUAUAGGAGUGGGAAUUGGAUGAAAAAUAGAGGCAAAACAGGGAGAAUAACGGGAUUGAGGAUGAUUUUGGUUAAAAACAGAGAGGCAAGGGAGAAAUUGAGCAAAAGAGAGAGUGAGGAUUGUUGUGGUAAAGAGAAAGAUCUAUGAGAGAUAGAGAAAUCACGUGAGAGGGGGGUGGAAGCCAUGAACAGAGGGAUCUAGUCAGCUGGCUUGAGUUGUUCGGUGAACUUCUCGCCGGAAGCAGCCAUCUAUCGCCAGAAUCAACCAUUUUUGACCACCAUCAUCAAAGCCCAGUAGGCAACCCCAAAAUCCAUGAAAAAGAGCAAAAUGAAUCGACUCCCCCUAUUCCCUUUCUUCGCAUAAACAGUAGUGGGGUAAAAAAUUGAAUGUGGGUUUAUCUUUACUUCAUGAUUUUUUGAUUCGGAUUGGCGAAAAUAGAAUAAAAAGGGUUAGAUUGAGGUCGGAUUGGGUUUGAAUUGAGGUUCGGUUCGUGGUUUCCAGACGUGGACUCUUUUUAAUUGAAUAACACAGUUUGAAAGCCCUAAUUUUAUGUCCAAUUCUUUAUCUCUUCUCUUUAUUUUGAUGACGUGAUUUGGUGAUUAUGUGUUGGGUAAUUGUAAUUGCUUGAUUUUAUUGAUGUUAUGAUUAUAUGCUUGACGAUGUGAUUUCGG